rnacentral:rRNA from 1 species
UACGUAGGCAGCGAGCGUUGUUCGGAAUUACUGGGCGUAAAGAGUGUGUAGGCGGUGCUCUAAGUUCGGUGUGAAAUCUCCUGCUUAACUGGGAGGGUGCGCCGAAAACUGGAGUGCUCGAGCGUGGGAGAGGAAAGCGGAAUUCCUGGUGUAGCGGUGAAAUGCGUAGAUAUCAGGAGGAACACCUGCGGUGUAGACGGCUUUCUGGACCACUGCUGACGCUGAGACACGAAAGCGUGGGUAGCAAACAGG